CGAGGCACCAGUUCUUAUACGAUCACCAAAGUUAAGCAAUGUUAAACAUAGUCAGUACCUAGAUGGGUAACCACUUGGGAAUACCAGGUGCUGUAAG
rnacentral:rRNA from 1 species